rnacentral:rRNA from 1 species
GAUCAUGGCUCAGAGUGAACGCUGGCGGCAGGCCUAAUACAUGCAAGUCGAACGGCAGCACAGCAGAGCUUGCUCUGUGGGUGGCGAGUGGCGGACGGGUGAGGAAUACAUGGGAAUCUGCCCAGUCGUGGGGGAUAACGUAGGGAAACUUACGCUAAUACCGCAUGCGCCCUUCGGGGGAAAGCCGGGGACCUUCGGGCCUGGCGCGAUUGGAUGAGCCCAUGUCGGAUUAGCUAGUUGGCGGGGUAAUGGCCCACCAAGGCGACGAUCCGUAGCUGGUCUGAGAGGAUGAUCAGCCACACUGGAACUGAGACACGGUCCAGACUCCUACGGGAUGCAGCAGUAGGGAAUAUUGGACAAUGGGCGCAAGCCUGAUCCAGCCAUGCCGCGUGAGUGAAGAAGGCCCUCGGGUUGUAAAGCUCUUUUGUCCGGAAAGAAAAGCGCCGGGUUAAUACCCUGGUGUCCUGACGGUACCGGAAGAAUAAGCACCGGCUAACUUCGUG